rnacentral:rRNA from 1 species
GUCUACAACCAUGCUACCCUGAACAAGCCUGAUGUCUGAUCUCGGAACCUAAGCAGGGCCGGGUCUGGUUAGUACUUGGAUGGGAGGCCACCUAAGAAGACCAGGUGCUAUAGGCA